GGGUCAGUAGGUUGGUCGUGCCACCGGUACGUACUGGUCUCACUGAUUCCUCCUUCCUGAAGAACCGUAAUACCAUUAAUUUGGUGUUGCGGGGAAACAGGACUGUUACUUUGAAAAAAUUAGAGUGUUUAAAGCAAGCUAACGCUUGAAUACAUUAGCAUGGAAUAAUGAAAUAGGACGAUCGAUCCUAUUUUGUUGGUUUCUAGGAUUGACGUA
rnacentral:rRNA from 1 species